rnacentral:misc_RNA from 1 species
GAUGAAGAACGUAGUGAAAUGCGAUAAGUAAUGUGAAUUGCAGAAUUCAGUGAAUCAUCGAAUCUUUGAACGCACCUUGCGCCUUUUGGUAUUCCGAAAGGCACACCUGUUUGAGCGUCUUGAAUACCUCAAUCUCCAUCUUUUCUUCGGAUUGAUGGGUGACUUGGAUGUUGAGCCCUGCUGGUAUGCUAUAUCAGCUGGCUUUAAACUUAUUAGCCGGCUCUGUACUGGAUCGGUUUGACUCGACGUGAUAAUAUUAUCGUUGAGGAUGCAUGUCUCAUGCAGCCGGAAAGUAUCAAAGCAGCUUCUAGCUUGCCUUUAGUGCACUUUUACAUUUUAGACCUCAGAUCAGGUGGGACUACCCGCUGAACUUAAGCAUAUCAAUAAGCGGAGGA